rnacentral:rRNA from 1 species
GACGAACGCUGGCGGCGUGCUUAACACAUGCAAGUCGAGCGGUAAGGCUCUUUCGGGGGUACACGAGCGGCGAACGGGUGAGUAACACGUGGGUGACCUGCCCUCAGCUCUGGGAUAAGCCUGGGAAACCGGGUCUAAUACUGGAUAUGACUCCAUGACGCAUGUUGUGGGGUGGAAAGCCUUGUGCGGCUGAGGAUGGGCCCGCGGCCUAUCAGCUUGUUGGUGGGGUGAUGGCCUACCAAGGCGACGACGGGUAGCCGGCCUGAGAGGGCGACCGGCCACACUGGGACUGAGACACGGCCCAGACUCCUACGGGAGGCAGCAGUGGGGAAUCUUGCGCAAUGGGCGAAAGCCUGACGCAGCGACGCCGCGUGAGGGAUGACGGCCUCGGUGUAACU